rnacentral:lncRNA from 1 species
CCUGCGAUCAGAGCUUCAUAUUCUGCUCCAUUAUUUGUUGUGGGGAACUCGAAGCGUAGAACGUACUCCAUGACGAUUUCCUAUGGACUGAUCAAGAUCAGGCCCGCGCCUGCUCCCGACAUGUUGGAAGACCCGUCCACAUAGAGGGCCCAAAAGCAACCAGAGGGGUCUGCUUCUUCUUUGGGGGAGUUCGAUCGGGGCUCCAGGCCAUCAAUUUCGCCCUGUUCAGAUUCGGCCUCCUCCGGGAUAGUGCACUCUACUAUAAAAUCUGCCAAUAUCUGGGCUUUCACUGCUGGUCUAGAUCGAUAGUUG